rnacentral:rRNA from 1 species
AUUGAACGCUGGCGGAAUGCUUUACACAUGCAAGUCGAACGGUAGAGGGGGCAACCCCUCGAGAGUGGCGAACGGGUGAGUAAUAUAUCGGAACGUGCCCAGUCGUGGGGGAUAACGUAGCGAAAGUUACGCUAAUACCGCAUACGAUCUAAGGAUGAAAGCGGGGGAUCGCAAGACAUCGCGCGAUUGGAGCGGCCGAUAUCAGAUUAGGUAGUUGGUGGGGUAAAGGUUCACCAAGCCAACGAUCUGUAGCUGGUCUGAGAGGACGACCAGCCACACUGGAACUGAGACACGGUCCAGACUCCUACGGGAGGCAGCAGUGGGGAAUUUUGGACAGUGGACGCAAGUCUGAUCCAGCCAUUCCGCGUGCAGGAUGAAGGCCCUCGGGUUGUAAACUGCUUUUGUACGGAACGAAAAGGUCUCUCUUAAUACGGGGGACUCAUGACGGUACCGUAAGAAUAAGCACCGGCUAACUACGUGCCAGCCGCCGCGGUAA